rnacentral:rRNA from 1 species
UACGAAGGGGCUAGCGUUGCUCGGAAUCACUGGGCGUAAAGGGUGCGUAGGCGGGUUUUUAAGUCAGAGGUGAAAUCCUGGAGCUCAACUCCAGAACUGCCUUUGAUACUGAAAGUCUUGAGUAUGGGAGAGGUGAGUGGAACUGCGAGUGUAGAGGUGAAAUUCGUAGAUAUUCGCAAGAACACCAGUGGCGAAGGCGGCUCACUGGCCCAUAACUGACGCUGAGGCACGAAAGCGUGGGGAGCAAACAGG